AUGCACGCACCGUCCCCACGCGGCGCUCCCCCGGACGCGCACUCCGUCGAGCACCUGCCCCACGGCGGCCCCCUCCUCCACCGCCUCCUCCCGGCGUGCGCCACCCUCCCCUCCCUCCGCGCCCUCCACGCGCGCCUCCUCGCGCACGGCCUCCUCCGCGCCCUCCGCGCGCGCACCAAGCUGCUCAGCUGCUACUCGGCGCUCGGCGACCUCGCCUCCGCGCGCAGGGUGCUCGAUGAAACCCCGCGCCCGGACGCCUACACCUACAGGGUCGCCCUGGGGUGGCACGCCUCCGCGGGGCGGCACGCGGAGGCCGUCGCGCUCCACCGGGGCAUGCGGCGGCGGUGCCCCGAGGCGCAGGACGACGUCGUCCUGCUGUCCCUCGCGCUCAAGGCCUCGGUCAGGUCGGCCGACUUCCGCUACGGCAGGCGGCUGCACUGCGACGCCGUCAAGGCCGGUGGCGCGGACGGGUUCGUGAUGAACUGCCUGGUCGACAUGUACGCCAAAGCCGGCGACCUGGAGAACGCACGCAAGGUGUUCGACAGGAUCCUUAGCCGUAACGUGGUGUCGUGGACGUCCAUGCUCAGCGGCUGCCUGCAGAAUGGUUUCGCCGAAGAAGGACUGGCGCUGUUCAAUGAGAUGAGGGAAGAGCGUGUGCUGCCGAGCGAGCACACGAUGGCGAGCGUGCUCACGGCUUGCACCAUGCUCGGCAGUUUACACCAAGGAAGAUGGGUUCAUGGGUCAGUGAUCAAACAUGGCAUGGUCUUUAACCCUUUCGUUACUGCAGUGAUGCUGGAUAUGUAUGUCAAGUGCGGAGAGGUAGAGGAUGCUCGGCGGUUGUUUGAUGAGCUUGGUUUUGUUGACCUUGUUCUCUGGACGACGAUGAUCGUGGGGUAUACGCAGAAUGGGAGUCCUCUUGAUGCAUUGCUUCUGUUCGCUGACAAGAAAUUCGUGCGCAUUGUUCCUAAUUCGGUAACCAUAGCAACUGUUCUUUCAGCUUCCGCUCAGUUGCGCAACUUGUCUCUGGGAAGGUUGAUUCAUGGGAUGUCAGUUAAGUUAGGUGUGGUUGAGAAGGAUGUGGUGAUGAAUGCGCUCGUUGACAUGUAUGCAAAGUGUAAAGCAGUGUCAGAGGCCAAUGGCAUAUUUGGAAGAAUCUCGAACAAGGAUGUUGUCACAUGGAAUUCAUUGAUCGCUGGCUAUGUUGAGAAUGACAUGGGCAAUGAAGCUCUAAUGCUAUUUAGUCAGAUGAGGGUGCAGGGUUCUUCGCCUGAUGCCAUCUCCGUAGUGAACGCCUUGUCAGCCUGUGUUUGUUUGGGUGAUCUACUUAUCGGUAAAUGUUUCCAUACUUAUGCUAUCAAACGCGCAUUUCUGUCCAACAUUUACGUCAACACUGCUCUGCUGAACCUGUACAACAAGUGUGCCGAUCUCCCAUCUGCUCAGAGGGUGUUCAGUGAGAUGAAUGACCGCAAUUCUGUCACUUGGGGUGCUAUGAUUGGAGGCUACGGUAUGCAGGGCGAUUCUGCUGGCUCGAUCGACCUUUUUAAUGAAAUGCUGAAGGACAAUAUCCAACCAAAUGAAGUAGUGUUCACAAGUAUCCUUUCCACUUGCAGCCACACUGGGAUGGUUUCUGUAGGAAAGAAGUGUUUUGAAAGCAUGGCACAGUAUUUCAACAUCACUCCUUCAAUGAAGCAUUAUGCAUGUAUGGUUGAUGUGCUGUCCCGUGCCGGAAAUCUGGAGGAGGCAUUGGAUUUCAUACAGAAGAUGCCAAUGCAAGCAGACAUUAGUGUCUGGGGAGCUUUUCUCCAUGGGUGCAAGCUCCAUUCCAGGUUAGAGUUUGGAGAAGAAGCGAUCAAUAGGAUGAUGGUUCCUCAUCCUGACACGCCAGCUUUUUAUGUGCUGAUGUCCAACUUGUAUACCUCAUAUGGGAGAUGGGAUAAGUCUCUUGCUAUCAGGAGAUCGAUGCAGGAAAGAGGACUAGUCAAGCUACCUGGGUGCAGCUCUGUGGGACUUGAAAAUGGAUGA
rnacentral:rRNA from 1 species